GCUAGCUGCUGCGUCUGGCACUCUGGUGCGUGCUCUCCGUCUGAGAAUGGAGCUGAACCACACGAGCUGCUCAUGCGAGGCUCUGGCUGUUUCACGUGUUCUAAUUAUCUGGAUUAUCCCACCUACUGCCUGGGAGCUCAAGCAUGGCUCGUCUGAAGAAAACCUCAGAGAACAACAGUCAAACCCACAAGGACACCACGGCCAGAGCGGCUGGGAGCUGUGCAGACCUGAAGAGACAAUGUGAGGGCUGCAGGACAGGGCCAUGCCAGAAGAUCUUCAGAGGGGAUUGAGGCCGGACACUCAACA